rnacentral:rRNA from 1 species
AGUCGACGAACUUCUUUAUCACCGAGUGCUUGCACUCACCGAUAAAGAGUUGAGUGGCGAACGGGUGAGUAACACGUGGGCAACCUGCCCAAAAGAGGGGGAUAACACUUGGAAACAGGUGCUAAUACCGCAUAACCAUAGUUACCGCAUGGUAACUAUGUAAAAGGUGGCUAUGCUACCGCUUUUGGAUGGGCCCGCGACGCAUUAGCUAGUUGGUGGGGUAAAGGCUUACCAAGGCAAUGAUGCGUAGCCGAACUGAGAGGUUGAUCGGCCACAUUGGGACUGAGACACGGCCCAAACUCCUACGGGAGGCAGCAGUAGGGAAUCUUCCACAAUGGGCGAAAGCCUGAUGGAGCAACGCCGCGUGGGUGAAGAAGGUCUUCGGAUCGUAAAACCCUGUUGUUAGAGAAGAAAGUGCGUGAGAGUAACUGUUCACGUUUCGACGGUAUCUAACCAGAAAGCCACGGCUAACUACGUGCCAGCAGCCGCGGUAAUACGUAGGUGGCAAGCGUUAUCCGGAUUUAUUGGGCGUAAAGAGAACGCAGGCGGUCUUUUAAGUCUGAUGUGGAAGCCUUCGGCUUAACCGGAGUAGUGCAUUGGAAACUGGGAGACUUGAGUGCAGAAGAGGAGAGUGGAAAUCCAUGUGUAGCGGUGAAAUGCGUAGAUAUAUGGAAGAACACCAGUGGCGAAAGCGGCUCUCUGGUCUGUAACUGACGCUGAGGUUCGAAAGCGUGGGUAGCAAACAGGAUUAGAUACCCUGGUAGUCCACGCCG